GCCACUUUUACCUCGUGCCUCUCCCUUCGCAGGAUUUCCUUGAACUUUUUUAAGUCCGCCUUCUUAAAAUAAAUUUCUUCACUUUUUUCUUCAGCCGCAGCUGCAAAUUCGAUUUUCUUUUUCCACGU